CAAUACGCAAUCGUUAUUCCGUAAAUAAAUUUCCAAACUGAUAAAACUGGCAUUAUUUGCGGUGAACUUUGCUGCCAAGACAAUGUAAAUUAUCGAACGAUCUUUCAACCUCCAGACAUUGUAUAGUUGAACUGAUUUCUGUUCAAGUAUACUUUCAUUCCAAUAAGGGGAAUGCUUCGUUGAAAUUGUCAAAGAGUUUUCCGGUGAUAGACUCGUCUUGAAAAAGACGAACUCUUCGAGGGAGUCGAUUUUCACGUCACGAGGGAUUCUUUGAAGAAAAUACAAUUUCGUCAGGUCAAAGAGGAUCACUUCGUUGAGGGAUGGUCAAAGAGUUUUCUGGUGUCAUAUUCAUCUUGCAAGAGCUAGUCUUUUUAAGCCACACGGUUUUCACGUCACCAACAGGGAUUCUUCAAAGAAAAUACAAUCUCGUCGGGUCAAAGAUGCAACAACAUUUGAGUGAAAGGCAACGAUGAUGGUAGAAACAAAAAAGAAUUGUUAAGCAUUCAACCGUUAUUAUUCCGAAUUCCGUCUGGAGACAUUCGCAAUAUACCAAAUAUUGAAAAUUAAUUUAUGUGCGAGCAUGUGCAUUAUAGAAAUAAUUUCCACGUUCAAUUGUUGUGAAUAAUCUUGCAAUUUUGGCCACUACCCGGGUAGCUGUUGACAAAUCUUCGUUCUCGACUCCCGAGCUCCAUGGUAAUUCGAAAAUGUUAUUCAGAAGAUAACUAUAAUUCAAAUUUCACAUUGCUAAUCCAUUUUUACGAUGUUUUAUUGCCAUCAAAGAUUUUUUAAACUCGAAUUUUUCAAAUUCUGCGCGUUAACGUAUUUACGCGAACUCUGCGGUUUCCAUUUUCCAGAUUGAAUGGAUUCAACUUCAAGACUAUACUUUGAAUAAUCUAGCUUUAAUAUGCCACCAAAGCAGAAAAAUGAAUUUUCACUUCCGUGCAAUGUUAUAAUGGUUUUUGUUAUAUCUCGCUUUCAACGAAAUUUCUUGCGACAGCUCAAAUUUCGGCGUUGAAAAGUUUGAGUAAAAAAAUAAAAAAAAAAUUACAUGACUGCUAUAAAUUUGGAGUAUUAUCAAGCCAGCAUCGAAUUCACUUCAGAACUUUUUCAACUCCCUAUGAAUUAUGACGUUCAUUUCUGCCUAUGAAUAUCAAGUGUGUUGCGGCUAGAAAAAAUCUACGAGAUUAUAUUUUAUUUAUCUUUAUUAUAAGAAUUAAUAUUUGUAAAAAAAGCUUGUGAUAAAGAGUGACCACUAUUCGAUCUUUAAGCUAAA
rnacentral:lncRNA from 1 species